CUAGAGCUCCAAUCAUAUUUAUCCACCACCAAUGCCAGCCUCCACCCUCCCCUUAUUUUCCCAUUCUUUUCCGAUCAAGCUUUGCGCGAACAAACAAUCACUGUUAUUCUUCUUUUCAACCCAUCCACCUCUCUUUUUCGACGAAACAAAUGCUAAAACUGCCCCAUACCACCACCCAAACAACAAUAAAACAGUCCCUUCCAUCUUUCGUCUUCUCUCUCCCAGCAAACUAUUGAACUCUGGUGAAGCUCCCUGCGAACCGGAGAGUAACCUGUUACCAUGACGAGAUCCAGACAGACAGACCCAUGUUGCUGCUCCGUCAGAAUCUCCGAACUAGAGCUCCAAUAUAGUAUUACGAUAUAACUCGGGUGGGCACUAACAACCUUCAUCUCCGACAGCAACGAUGGAGUUCUGGUGAUGCGAACAUCACCAAUAUCUCCCAGUCUUUCCUUUUCACAAUUUGUACACCGUUUCUGGUUAAAUUUAUGGAUCUAGCCAAGGUUUGUUCAUUUUCUUAUUAUUCCUUUGAGUUUUUUGUGGUUAACGAUUUCAAGCUACUAUUAUCGGUCACUUUUUGUAAAUAAAAUGGUUGACGGGUCAUAUAUUGAAAGAAAGUUGGUCGAACGGUCAUUUCCAGUAAUAAACAAAAAAAUGAAUUACUCUUUGUGUAAGAAAUUUAAUCUGUCACGAUCCGAUUUCGGCCUUGCCAUGAUGGGUAUCUCAAACUCACCGAGAGUCAGAGAUUGCCCCCUUAAUCUAGUCAACCAGAACACAAUAUGAUAUAAUAGCGGAAGCAACCAGAGUAUAAAUAUACAGUUUAUGAAACUCAAAUGGAACUAAGAGUUCAAAACAACGACCAACACACAAUCUGUCCACAAAGCCUCUAACAAAACCAAAUAUCAUACUAGAUCGGGACAUGCUCUUGACCAUGGCCAAAAAGAAAAUUCAAAAUAUAAAAAAAAUGAUGAGAUUUUGAUAAUCAUUAAGAAAGCAUUGAAAUGUCUGACCUUCCGUAAGAUUGAGGCUCACCACUUCAAUGCAGACCAGCCAGAAUCAUCGAACUCUGUACAAGGUAAUCGAAGAACCCUAGGACCUACAUCAUGAAAUGAUAUAUCGUUCGGAGAUAGUUAGCGAGGUGAGCUCUAGCAUGUAACUCAGAAAAGAGAUAAAAUAAUGCCAAGUAAAAAUCAGUCCAAAACCAUAUGCAUACAUUUAUAGAUAGGGAACAAGGUUUAGCAUGAGAUUAAAUCCAUUAGCCUGGACUGUGUAGCUCUAACCAUCCUAAGGCAUCCACGGGCUAUAUGGGUACAGCUCCCCUGUUGAAAGGAUCCCAACGCAUGUUAGCCGCACAAAUAAGGAAAAUUCGAGGAAGGACCAAAGCCACCGAGGCUCUAACCAUUAUAAAAUAAAUAUAUAUAAUGUGUGAACUAUGCACAUAGUCACUAAGACCCCUAUGUCGGCAAAAGUGGGUUCCGGUAUUGUUCCUGUUGACACCUAAUUUUUUUCCUCCUCAGUUAAGUUUAAUUUUGAGUUUAUCUGGUUUCAAAUAAAAUUAAAAUAUUUAUUUUAUCCGAGUAAAUUUUUUUAAAAAUAUUUGUCUAGAUAAUUUUUUCUAUUUUAAGUAACGAUUAUAUAUUUUCGUAUUCAUAGAUAUACGAAAUCAUAUAAUUUUGUCACUUAAAUUUUAUUUUAUGGAAUAUUGUAGUUUAAUCAAAGAUUAUCUUGAAAAUUAAUCUUGAGUUACAUAAAAUAACUUAUUUGUAAAAAUAUUUGUUUGGUUUAAUUAAAUCAAGAAACUUGAAAUUAAACCGAUUUAUAAUUUGUAUCGAAUUUUGAUUCAAUAACUUAUUUGUAAAAAUAUCUUUCAUUGGUCGAGUUCGUAGUCAAAGAUAAUGACGGAAUUGCUAUUCGACUUAUUAUCUCAGUUCGCUGCUCCGGAGAAG
rnacentral:lncRNA from 1 species